rnacentral:rRNA from 1 species
AUGGCGGUCACUUCUUUGAAGGAUAGAUUUAAAGAACUAAUGGUGUUCAAAGAUAUCUUUGGAUUUUUAUUGAGCUCGGGCACCCUGAAGUCAUUAAGUGAUAAUGAACUUGAAGAGUGUUGCACAAAAUUUGCAGAAACAUUCUCUCUUGAUGGUUCAUCUGAUGUAGAGGUAUAUGAUCUUAUUUCUGAAUUGAAGAUUAUGAGAUUCACUUUGCCAAAUGGCGUAAUGUCUGCCAUGGAGAUUUUUGGGCAUGUUAGAGAAGUUGAUUGUUAUCCGAAUAUCUCCAUUGCUUAUCGCAUCUUAUUUACUGUGCCUGUGACGGUCGCAUCGGCCGAGAGAAGCUUUUCAAAGCUGAAAUUGUUGAAGAAUUAUUUGAGGUCAACAAUGACUCAAGAAAGGUUAAAUGGUUUGGCUACAUUAUGCAUCGAGAAGAAAUUAUUGGAUGAGAUUGACAUCGACCCUAUCAUAAGCGACUUUGCAUCGAGGAAUGUUAGAAGACAUUUUUAA